rnacentral:sRNA from 1 species
GAGGUGAGAUCUGGCUGUGUUGCCCAGGCUGGAGUGCAGUGGCUGUUCACAGCUUUUAAAAGCAGUCCAUCUUCAAGGCCAUGAAGGACCUGUUUAUGCGGUGCAUGCUGUUUACCAGAGGAGGACAUCAGAUCCUGCUUUAUGUACACUGAUCGUUUCUGCAGCUGCAGAUUCUGCUGUUCGACUCUGGUCUAAAAAGGGUUCAGAAGUAAUGUGCCUUCAGACUUUAAACUUUGGAAAUGGAUUUGCUUUGGCUCUCUGCUUGUCUUUUUUGCCAAAUACUGAUGUUACCUGGAAGACUGGCCAGGUGGAAAGAGGCAGGGCCUGGAAGCCACCAGCCUCUCUCGCCCUCUGUAGCAGGAGCUGCGACUCUAUGGUUUCAUGUUAUGCUUCCAUUCUGUGCAAGGAGAAGCUGCACACAUUCUGGCAUCAUAACAGAAUUUCAUUUCUUCCAUCUGCAUUCAGGCCAAUACCAAUAUUAGCAUGUGGCGAUGAUGAUUGCAGAGUUCACGUAUUUGCUCAACAAAAUGAUCAGUUUCAGAAAGUGCUUUCUCUCUGUGGACAUG